UGACUNGAGUGCAGAAGGGGAGAGUGGAAUNCCAUGUGUAGCGGUGAAAUGCGUAGAUAUAUGGAGGAACACCAGUGGCGAAAGCGGCUCUCUGGUCUGUCACUGACGCUGAGGCUCGAAAGCGUGGGUAGCGAACAGGAUUAGAUACCCUGGUAGUNCACGCCGUAAACGAUGAGUGCUAGGUGUUAGGCCCUUUCCGGGGCUUAGUGCCGGAGCUAACGCAAUAAGCACUCCGCCUGGGGAGUACGACCGCAAGGUUGAAACUCAAAGGAAUUGACGGGGGCCCGCACAAGCGGUGGAGCAUGUGGUUUAAUUCGAAGCAACGCGAAGAACCUUACCAGGUCUUGACAUCCCGAUGCUAUUCUUAGAGAUAGGAAGUUACUUCGGUACAUCGGAGACAGGUGGUGCAUGGUUGUCGUCAGCUCGUGUCGUGAGAUGUUGGGUUAAGUCCCGCAACGAGCGCAACCCUUAUUGUUAGUUGCCAUCAUUAAGUUGGGCACUCUAGCGAGACUGCCGGUAAUAAACCGGAGGAAGGUGGGGAUGACGUCAAAUCAUCAUGCCCCUUAUGACCUGGGCUACACACGUGCUACAAUGGUCGGUACAACGAGUUGCGAGCCGGUGACGGCAAGCUAAUCUCUGAAAGCCGAUCUCAGUUCGGAUUGGAGGCUGCAACUCGCCUCCAUGAAGUCGGAAUCGCUAGUAAUCGCGGAUCAGCACGCCGCGGUGAAUACGUUCCCGGGCCUUGUACACACCGCCCGUCACACCACGAGAGUUUGUAACACCCGAAGUCGGUGAGGUANCCUUUUAGGG
rnacentral:rRNA from 1 species